rnacentral:rRNA from 1 species
UGUCCUCCAAAUAGGGACCAGUAUGAAAGGCAACAUGAGAAAGAAGCUGUCUCUUUAGAUCGACCAAUGAAACUGACCUGCCUGUACAAAAGCAGGCAUAUAAAAACAAGACAAAAAGACCCUGUGAAACUUUAAAUGUCAGUCAACUAAAUGACUAAAACAUUUUCGGUUGGGGCAACCAAAGAGAAACAAAAACCUCACCAACAGUUACAAGGUAAACAAGCCUACUAACACCAAUUAUAGACCCAGCACCGCUGAUUAAAGAGACAAGCUACUCCAGGGAUAACAGCGCCACAUUCUUGAAGAGUUCAUAUCAACAAGAAUACCUACGACCUCGAUGUUGGAUUGGGGUAUCCUGAUGGUGCAAAAGCUAUCAAAGGUUCGUUUGUUCAACGAUUAAAAC